GAGCAUUUCUUUUUAGUCUUUUACUAGCGCAGGCGCUCAUAAGCUCAAACCUUCACCUCACGUGUGAGACUGCAGCGAACGCGGCUUUGUGCGAAACCUAAGUUACAAAAUAAAUAUAAUAAACGAUAUAGUUUUAAUUUUUGAUCGAAUUGUUGUGUGGGUCUACUCUAGAGUUUUUACUCUGCAGAAAACUGACGAGCAACCCAACCCACCAACAGACGAGGAAGAUGAGGAUGAUAAUCACAGUGGUCCAGCAUAUACAAAGAGAGUGAUGCUAAAUAUAAGCAGACUAUACAGAUGCUCAUCUCUGCCAAAACACACGUGACUACAACACAAACACAGCAUCACAGUUCAUCACUUUACUUGUAACCAACAGAAGCUGAAGGAAUGGCAAGGUGCUUUGGGGACAAUGAGAAAAACUCAAAAGAAGAUACUUUGAAGAAUGCUGGUAAUCAAACCCAACAAGUUUGUCAGGUGCAGAAAUAAAAGCUCCCAAACAAAGAUGUCACCGGAUUAAGAUGUGGAAAGACAUGUUACACAACAACAACCAUAAUUCCUGAGUAAUUUGAAAAUGGGCAACAACCAAGGAAAACUCUGCCAUUUACUAAUGGGUUAUUCAAAACACAAAGUUUUGGUGUAUCUUUACAAUAAGGUAUCAUUAGUUAACAUUAGUAAAUGUUGAAAUUAACAUUAAAUAAUGAGCAAUACAUUUGUUACAAUUUGCAUUAAUCUUUGAUACUGUUAAAAA